rnacentral:rRNA from 1 species
CAGCCGCCACGGGAAAACGGAGGGGGCUAGCGUUGUUCGGAAUUACUGGGCGUAAAGCGCACGUAGGCGGCUUGGUAAGUUAGAGGUGAAAGCCUGGAGCUCAACUCCAGAAUUGCCUUUAAGACUGCCGAGCUAGCAGGUGAGAGAGGUGAGUGGAAUUCCGAGUGUAGAGGUGAAAUUCGUAGAUAUUCGGAAGAACACCAGUGGCGAAGGCGGCUCACUGGACCGACACUGACGCUGAGGCGCGAAAGCGUGGGGAGCAAACAGGAUUAGAUACCCGAGUAGUCCCUGUCUCUUAUAC